rnacentral:tRNA from 1 species
GCCGUCGUAGCUCAGUGGUAGAGCACACCCUUGGUAAGGGUGAGGUCGACAGUUCAAUCCUGUCCGACGGCACCA